rnacentral:tRNA from 1 species
GGGGAAUUAGCUCAAGUGGUAGAGCGCUCGCUUAGCAUGUGAGAAGUACAAGGAUCGAUACCCUGAUUCUCCA